rnacentral:rRNA from 1 species
CGAAUUCAUCUACGGAGAGUUUGAUCCUGGCUCAGGACGAACGCUGGCGGCGUGCUUAAC